rnacentral:rRNA from 1 species
UUUAAAUUGAGAGUUUGAUCCUGGCUCAGGACGAACGCUGGCGGCGUGCCUAAUACAUGCAAGUCGAACG